GGGGUCAAAGGCCACGGCGCGCACCACGUGGGCCGGUGACUCCGUCCUUCCCGCAGCGGCCGCGGCGCGCAGGGCACUUGGGUUAGUGGCGCGGCGGGCGGCGCGGACAGCCGAGGCGGACGCCCGCUCCCGCCACCAUGGUCAUCAAGACGGACGAGUUGCCGGCGGCCGCCCCGGCCGACAGCGCCCGGGAACACGGCUCGCAGGCCGGGGGCAAGGGGCGGCCGGGCGCGGCCGCUGCUUCCUAGCCUUCUGGAGCCUCAGUUUCCU
rnacentral:lncRNA from 1 species